CCGGGUAGGCUGGCGGCGUGCUUACACAUGCAAGUCGAGCGAAGCGAUUCAAAUGAAGUUUUCGGAUGGAUUUUGAAUUGACUUAGCGGCGGACGGGUGAGUAACGCGUGGGUAACCUGCCUCAUACAGGGGGAUAACAGUCGGAAACGACUGCUAAUACCGCAUAAGCACACAGUGCCGCAUGGUACAGUGUGAAAAACUCCGGUGGUAUGAGAUGGACCCGCGUCUGAUUAGGUAGUUGGUGAGGUAACGGCCCACCAAGCCGACGAUCAGUAGCCGACCUGAGAGGGUGACCGGCCACAUUGGGACUGAGACACGGCCCAAACUCCUACGGGAGGCAGCAGUGGGGAAUAUUGGACAAUGGGGGAAACCCUGAUCCAGCGACGCCGCGUGAGUGAAGAAGUAUUUCGGUAUGUAAAGCUCUAUCAGCAGGGAAGAAAAUGACGGUACCUGACUAAGAAGCCCCGGCUAACUACGUGCCAGCAGCCGCGGUAAUACGUAGGGGGCAAGCGUUAUCCGGAUUUACUGGGUGUAAAGGGAGCGUAGACGGCACUGCAAGUCUGGAGUGAAAGCCCGGGGCUCAACCCCGGGACUGCUUUGGAAACUGUGGUGCUAGAGUGCAGGAGAGGUAAGUGGAAUUCCUAGUGUAGCGGUGAAAUGCGUAGAUAUUAGGAGGAACACCAGUGGCGAAGGCGGCUUACUGGACUGUAACUGACGUUGAGGCUCGAAAGCGUGGGAGCAAACAGGAUUAGAUACCCUGGUAGUCCACG
rnacentral:rRNA from 1 species